CAGUUCGGAUUGUAGUCUGCAACUCGACUACAUGAAGCUGGAAUCGCUAGUAAUCGCGGAUCAGAAUGCCGCGGUGAAUACGUUCCCGGGUCUUGUACACACCGCCCGUCACACCAUGGGAGUCGGAAAUGCCCGAAGUCUGUGACCGAACCGAAAGGAAGGAGCAGCCGAAGGCAGGUCGGAUGACUGGGGUGAAGUCGUAACAAGGUACC
rnacentral:rRNA from 1 species